GACGAACGCUGGCGGCGUGCUUAACACAUGCAAGUCGAACGGAAAGGCCCCCUUGUGGGGUACUCGAGUGGCGAACGGGUGAGUAACACGUGAGUAACCUACCCUUGACUUUGGGAUAACUUCAGGAAACUGGGGCUAAUACCGGAUAGGAGCUCCUGCUGCAUGGUGGGGGUUGGAAAGUUUCGGCGGUUGGGGAUGGACUCGCGGCUUAUCAGCUUGUUGGUGGGGUAGUGGCUCACCAAGGCUUUGACGGGGAGCCGGCCUGAGAGGGUGACCGGCCACAUUGGGACUGAGAUACGGCCCAGACUCCUACGGGAGGCAGCAGUGGGGAAUAUUGCACAAUGGGCGGAAGCCUGAUGCAGCAACGCCGCGUGCGGGAUGACGGCCUUCGGGUUGUAAACCGCUUUCGCCUGUGACGAAGCGUGAGUGACGGUAAUGGGUAAAGAAGCACCGGCUAACUACGUG
rnacentral:rRNA from 1 species